GAGACAUAGAGAGAGAGAAGAGGGAGAGAGAGAGAGGGUGGAGGGGUUGAGAAAAAUAAGAGGAAGAGGCGACAAAAAUAGUGAAAGAAAGACAGAGGGAGAGAAAGAAAGAGAAGUAGAGAAAAGAGGGAGAGAGAGAGGGAGAAGGAGGGAGGGAAGGAGUGAUUGUUUAGCCUGAUCCGCUGUGUGUUUGCUGUUGUAGUAAUCAGGCCAUUCACUGCUAUUUACGCUGUCUUUAUUUGACAGUAAUAACAGCUUUAAAUCAUGGCUAGACUGCUGCUUUAAUGUGUCCUCUACCCUCUCCCUCUUUGCCCUCUCUAUGCCCUCUCCUUCUCUCUCUCCCUCUCUACUAAGACAUGGCAUGACUGACUGGAUGGAGGGAAGGUUUAAGGAGGAAAACAGGGGGAGACAAACUGUAUGGGGAGGAGGAUAGGAGAAGAAGAGGAGAGGAGAAGAGAAGAAGAAAGAGGGAUUAGACAGAUGAACUGCAGUCACCAGAUGCCCAAGCCUCAAACCAGAAAUGUGGAGACAUCAACACCUGUAAUUUUGAAUACAUAAAAAAAUACAUAUUG